CACUGAACAUUUGAGACUUGAUUGACCAUUUCUUCUCUUCAGCUCAGACUUGACCAGACGUGUUCAUUUAAACCAGAUCAAGACCAACACGAAGGAUGAAAUCCGUGGCUCUUCUCUCGCUCCUCUUCAUUCUUGCUCUCAGCGAUCGCUCCAUCAAUGACCGAUAUGAGGAAUUCAAGAAGAAGCACAUUCUCCCGACUGAUUUUAAAACAGACAAUAAAACUGCUUGGGUGAAUUACAUGAUAGAAAAUUGUCUCUGUGGUAGAACUGAAGUGCAGUCCUUCAUCAAGGACACUGAAGAAAAUGUCAAACGAAUCUGUAAUGGCGCUGGCCAAACUAAAAGAGGUUAUACCACAAGUAAAGACCUCUUCCAGGUGUUCAUGAUUAAAAGCAGAAAGAGUACAUCCAACAUGUCUGUAUGGGAUUGUGAGGUUAGCAGUUGUGUUACUAACAAAUAUAAUGUAAUUGUUGAAUGUCAGGACAAAUUGCCUGUUCACUAUCAUGGUCAACAUUGUGAACCUAAAAAACAUCCAUAUCCUUGCUUUUAUACCUAAGAUUUUUUAUUUAUUUUUUUUUUUUUUGCCUUCUCAACCUGGACACAGUUCCAGAAAUAUGUAAAAGCUUUCUACAGUAGCGGACACUGAUAUCAAAUUGAAUUGAUGAAUUGUGAAGCUUCAAUGCAAUGCAAGUGCCUUUCAAUAAAUCCAUCUGCCAAAUGCA